GAUGGCUCUAAAACUCCAUCGUUCAAGAACAUCUACAAAAACAACUCUACCGUUUGUUCAAAGCUGCAGAGAUCAGAAGUUUACGCACCAUGAGGUGCAACGUUCAGGUUCAUCCAGUGUGGGUGGGAAACGCCGAUGUUUACGCAUUUGAAGGUGAGAGAAGCUGAAGGAUGAACUGAGUUUAUGAAGAUGUUCCUCCUGAAGCUGAAACCUCCAGACCAAAUGCAAACCGUCUCCAUGAAAAACAUUCAGGUCUUCAGAAAAGCUGUAAAGUCAAAGAUCAGAGGUGAAGGUAAUUAAAAGUUCCUAACUUGUUCCUCUGCCUGGCUGCAGAUCCUGAGGUCUGAACUUCAGGUCUGAGUUAAACAGAUGAAAGCAUCGAGCUUUCUCCUUGAAAGCAUUUUGAAAGAAUGGUUGUUCAGUCCUGAUUAGCAUGAAGGUUAGACGGGAACUGAAUGCCGUCUAGACGACAACACUUCAUCCAUCUGCAUCCUCAGGUCAGCUCUGUCCUAGUCAAAGCAUCUCUAUGAGAACAAAGCUCUUCUGCAGAACUUAGACCUUCAGGUCCCGGAGACAAAUCUGAAUAAACUUUUAUGAAGAGUUUAAGUUAAGACUGUUUGUUGCACAUUUAUUAAAGAAAAAUGUA